UGAGGAAUAUUGGUCAAUGGCCGCUAGACUGAACCAGCCAAGUAGCGUGCGGGAUGAAGGCCCUCCGGGUCGUAAACCGCUUUUAGACGGGGAUAAAAGGGGCGUACGUGUACGCCGUAUUGCAUGUACCGUCAGAAAAAGGACCGGCUAAUUCCGUGCCAGCAGCCGCGGUAAUACGGAAGGUCCGGGCGUUAUCCGGAUUUAUUGGGUUUAAAGGGAGCGUAGGCGGACUUUCAAGUCAGUGGUAAAAUCGUGUGGCUCAACCAUACCUCGCCAUUGAAACUGGAAGUCUGGAGUGCACACAGGGGUGCCGGAAUUCAUGGUGUAGCGGUGAAAUGCUUAGAUAUCAUGAAGAACUCCGAUCGCGAAGGCAAGUGCCCGGGGUGCAACUGACGCUGAGGCUCGAAGGUGCGGGUUAUCGAACAGGAUUAGAUACC
rnacentral:rRNA from 1 species